AGAGCUUGACAAGCUCUCCGUGGACGCACCACGUCGGUCGCUUAACAAGACGGGUGUGAAAAUGUUAACUCGGGAUUUCUCUGAGAUGACAAUACGGGGAGGGUCAACCCAGCGACCUGCCCAGCAGCCGCCGUGGCUUUCAGUCCUCCGCUCCCUGACCCCGGGCACCGGCCACUCCGGUCCACCGCAACCCUGCCCGCGCUCGGUCGGACGUAGAGUUCCCGCCGCGGCCGCGGGGCUCCUCACCGAUCGUGUCCACGCGGUGCGUGAGAAGCAGGGUCCGCGAGCCACAGCGAGCGGCGGCGGCGGCCGCCUCGGUCCCCGCGUGCCCUCCUCCGAUAACUACCACGUCGAAGUGCGGGGUGCAGGGCGCCGCGCUGUCGCUGCGGAGGCGACGCAAAGGCAGCCGUCUGCCGAGGGACGCUGCGGCCCAAUGGCCACGGCCUCGGAGAAGGAACAUGUUGAGGGAAGCUAGCUAGAGACGCCCGGAACUGUCACCGGAGUAGAAGCCAGCUGGGCGUCGCCAUCUUGGCCGAGUCAGCGCGUAGCGCGCCUGCGUCCAGCGACGCUUUUGAUUGGCGGGUUGGAGCUUCGCCGCGGGGAGGUGCGCGCAGGCCCUGUGCGUUCUCCCCCCCCCUUCCUCCCCCCGCAGGUACUUUCAGCGCUGGCGGGAGAUUCUAUCUUGGAGGUUGAGGUUAGGCUUUUCCCGUGGACUUGUCUUUAUCGCCAGGUUGCCACCUAUGAACAAUAAAUUUGAUCAUUUCGCCUCAAAA